UGCAAGUCGAACGAAGUAGCAAUACUUAGUGGCAGACGGGUGAGUAACAUGUAGGUAUCUUCCCUUUGGUGAGGAAUAACACGAGGAAACUUGUGCUAAUACCUCAUAAGUCUUUACAGAGAAAGCUUUAUGCGCCAAUGGAUGAGCCUGCACUUGAUUAGUUUGUUGGUGGGGUAAAAGCCUACCAAGACUUUGAUCAAUAGCUGAUCUGAGAGGAUGAUCAGCCACAUUGGGACUGAGACACGGCCCAAACUCCUACGGGAGGCAGCAGUAGGGAAUAUUGCACAAUGGAGGAAACUCUGAUGCAGCGAUGCCGCGUGAGUGAAGAAGGCCCUUGGGUUGUAAAGCUCUUUCGUCGGGGAAGAAAAUGACUGUACCCGAAUAAGAAGGUCCGGCUAACUUCGUGCCAGCAGCCGCGGUAAUACGAAGGGACCUAGCGUAGUUCGGAAUUACUGGGCUUAAAGAGUUCGUAGGUGGUUAGAAAAGUUGGUGGUGAAAUCCCAGAGCUUAACUCUGGAACUGCCAUCAAAACUUUUUAGCUAGAGUAUGAUAGAGGAAAGCAGAAUUUCUAGUGUAGAGGUGAAAUUCGUAGAUAUUAGAAAGAAUACCAAUUGCGAAGGCAGCUUUCUGGAUCAUUACUGACACUGAGGAACGAAAGCAUGGGUAGCGAAGAGGAUUAGAUACCCUCGUAGUCCAUGCCGUAAACGAUGUGUGUUAGACGUUGGAAAUUUAUUUUCAGUGUCGCAGCGAAAGCAUUAAACACACCG
rnacentral:rRNA from 1 species